rfam:Gossypium arboreum cultivar AKA8401 contig_15130_5, whole genome shotgun sequence.
UGGCAGGAGAGAGAGCUUCCUUCAGCCCACUCACGGAUGGGAAUAAGGGGGUUGAACUAGCUGCCGACUCAUUCAUUCAAACACUCAGUAGAAAAUAGAUUGGAGAUUUUUACUACUGUGAUUGUGUGAAUGAAGCGGGAGAUAAUUUUGCAUCCCUCUUUCUCCAUGCUUGGACUGAAGGGAGCUCCUUCUUUCUGUUGC